rnacentral:rRNA from 1 species
UACGUAGGGGGCAAGCGUUGUCCGGAUUUAUUGGGCGUAAAGAGCGUGUAGGCGGUCCGGUAAGUCCGCUGUGAAAGUCGGGGGCUCAACCCUCGAAUGCCGGUGGAUACUGUCGGGCUAGAGUGCGGAAGAGGCGAGUGGAAUUCCUGGUGUAGCGGUGAAAUGCGCAGAUAUCAGGAGGAACACCUAUUGCGAAGGCAGCUCGCUGGGACGUAACUGACGCUAAGGCGCGAAAGCGUGGGGAGCGAACAGG